rnacentral:rRNA from 1 species
GAUCAUGGCUCAGGAUGAACGCUGGCGGCGUGCUUAACACAUGCAAGUCGAACGAAGCAAUUUAACGGAAGUUUUCGGAUGGAAGUUAGAUUGACUGAGUGGCGGACGGGUGAGUAAUGCGUGGGUAACCUGCCUCACACUGGGGGACAACAGUUAGAAAUGACUGCUAAUACCGCAUAAGCGCACAGGACCGCAUGGCCCGGUGUGAAAAACUCCGGUGGUGUGAGAUGGACCCGCGUUUGA